ACCUCGGUGGUGUAGUGGUGAAGACGCUCGCCUGGUAAACAGGAGGGCGUGGGUUCAAUCCUAGCCGAGGUA
rfam:Asian citrus Psyllid, Diaphorina citri - Florida Strain, whole genome shotgun sequence.